UGGCCGGCCUCGUGGCUCGCGUGGUCUUACGGUUGUUCGUCGUGGUGGUUCGGGUCGGCGUGGUGCUUCUAUUGAUUCGUCGGAUAGGCCUGCGUUUGCUCAUCGUCGUCCGUCUUGUCGGCUUGGUCGUCGUGCGCGUGGGUCGCCUUCUUCAUCUGCUUGCCCGUGUCGUCUUCUGUUUCAGUGGAUAUUGAUAUGCUAUCUGGUAGUCGUGCCUCCGUUGCCUCUCGCAGGGAGGAGAUUCGUUUGGGCAAGCGCCAUGUUGAUUGUUCUCUUGAUGUAUCUUUCUGUGGGUCAGAGAUGUGUGGGCCUGAUGUUGUUGCUGUUGCUGCCUCUUUGCUUUCUAUAGACUAUGGUACCCUGUCGUUUUUUUGGUGCA